rnacentral:rRNA from 1 species
AGGUUUUCCGCCAAUUGUAAUUUUUUCAAUAAAACCAGCUAGCCAUAAAAAAGAAGAAAAUGCUGAAAUGAUAAUUAAUUAUUUUAAAUCAGAAGAUUACCUUAAAAAAACAAAAAUAUCUUCGUGAGAAGCAUAUAGAAGUAUGAUGUUCUCAUACUUCUAUAUACUGCUGAUAUCUCAGCGACCGCCUAAUGGGGCGGUUUUUUAGUGGUUCUACAACUACAAAUUACUUGUUAAAAUUUUCUAAGAGAUAUCUUUAGAAAAAUUAAAUGUAUUUAAAUAUGUGUUUUUUAGAUUCAAUUUUAAAAAUAUCAAAGACUUAAAUAUAAUUUUUGGUAAACAAACUUCCACAUUUUUUACAUAAGGUUAGUCUCACUUAACGCAAUUAAACAUUUAACUGCUGAUAAUUUUAAAAAAAAAGGAAUUUUAAAGUUAUGAAUGAAAAUGCAGAACUUAUAAAGUACAUUGAUGUCGCUGAAAGUGUUUAUGAGCGGGUAUACGAAAAUAACCAAAUUUCUAACAGCUUGGUUGUUAACUUAA